rnacentral:rRNA from 1 species
CAGUCGCCGCGGUAAUACGUAGGGUGCGAGCGUUAAUCGGAAUUACUGGGCGUAAAGGGAGCGCAGGCGGGCAUGUAAGUCUUUCUUAAAAGUGCGGGGCUCAACCCCGUGAUGGGAAAGAAACUAUGUGUCUUGAGUACAGGAGAGGAAAGCGGAAUUCCCAGUGUAGCGGUGAAAUGCGUAGAUAUUGAGAGGAACACCAGUGGCGAAGGCGGCUUUCUGGACUGCAACUGACGCUGAGGCUCGAAAGCCAGGGGAGCGAACGGGAUUAGAUACCCGAGUAGUCCCUGUCUCUUAUACA